UACUUUUUACUUACAGUGCUGGAGACACAUGGGUGAGCACAACGUACAGUGUUUUGCUGCGGUUAUCCUGACUCAGGGACCACUUUACAAAGUCUACAGUCUACCAAGUUGUUGUUGGCAUUAAGAGUAAAAUACUCCCACACUUUAGAAGAUCAGGUGCAAGCCUUUUUCUCAACGUGUUUUUGCGAGGAGUCCAUACUUGCGCC